rnacentral:rRNA from 1 species
AUGGGAGAUCUAAAUGAGAUUCUGUACUCUUUUGAAAAGGAGGGUGGGAACGACCGACAAAUUCAUUUUAUGCAAGCUUUUAGGGAUGCUUUGGAGGACUGUCAGUUGGUUGAUCAUGUCUAUUUGGGCGAUAAAUUUACAUGGCAUAGAGGCCUUAUCAGAGAGCGACUAGACCGAGCCCUAAACACCUAGGCAUGGAGUUUGAAAUUUCCGAAUGCUACUCUAGAGCACUUGGAAUACUACAAGUCAGACCACAGACCGCUGCUUAUGAAUCUGGCUGAAGAGGAAAUCCAAGAAAAUAAUGUUGGAAAUGUGCCCUAG